rnacentral:sRNA from 1 species
CCAUGACUGUGUCUCCCUCUGAGGCAAUGUUUCCAAAUUCAGGGUCCCCAGAGGC